ACUAGAGGUCACAGCCUCAGAAUUAAAGGACAGAAUGUUAAGGGGUAAUACGAGGGAGAACUUCUUUCCUCAGAGAGUGGUAGCUGUGUGGAAUGAGCUUCCAGUGGAAGUGGUGGAUGCAGGUUCGAUUUUAUCAUUUAAAAAUAAAUUGGAUAGGUAUAUGGAUGGG